GCAGCUGGAGAGGUGGCCUGGAAGGCAGCUGGAGAGGUGGCCUGGAAUGCAGCUGGAGAGGUGGCCUGGAAGGCAGCUGGAGAGGUGGCCUGGAAGGCAGCUGGAGAGGUGGCCUGGAAGGCAGCUGGAGAGGUGGCCUGGAAGGCAGCUGGAGAGGUGGCCUGGAAGGCAGCUGGAGCGGUGGCCUGGAAGGCAGCUGGAGAGGUGGCCUGGAAGGCAGCUGGAGAGGUGGCCUGGAAGGCAGCUGGAGCGGUGGCCUGGAAGGCAGCUGGAGCGGUGGCCUGGAAGGCAGCUGGAGAGGUGGCCUGGAAGGCAGCUGGAGAGGUGGCCUGGAAGGCAGCUGGAGAGGUGGCCUGGAAGGCAGCUGGAGAGGUGGCCUGGAUAGUUGUGGGCACAGUGGGCAAAUUGGCCUGAGGGGUGUCUGAAGAGGUGAGCUGGGAGGCAGCUGGCAAAACCAGUGUGUCAGCUGGAGCAGGACGGUCAGUGAUAAGUGAGGGUGCACAGUCACAUUCCUGAAAUAGUCACAUUCCUGAAAUAUAUCAGGGUUGUAUGGCCAAAUGCCA
ensembl:lncRNA